rnacentral:rRNA from 1 species
GAUGAACGCUGGCGGCGUGCCUAAUACAUGCAAGUCGAGCGAACGGACGAGAAGCUUGCUUCUCUGAUGUUAGCGGCGGACGGGUGAGUAACACGUGGAUAACCUACCUAUAAGACUGGGAUAACUUCGGGAAACCGGAGCUAAUACCGGAUAAUAUUUUGAACCGCAUGGUUCAAAAGUGAAAGACGGUCUUGCUGUCACUUAUAGAUGGAUCCGCGCUGCAUUAGCUAGUUGGUAAGGUAACGGCUUACCAAGGCAACGAUGCAUAGCCGACCUGAGAGGGUGAUCGGCCACACUGGAACUGAGACACGGUCCAGACUCCUACGGGAGGCAGCAGUAGGGAAUCUUCCGCAAUGGGCGAAAGCCUGACGGAGCAACGCCGCGUGAGUGAUGAAGGUCUUCGGAUCGUAAAACUCUGUUAUUAGGGAAGAACAUAUGUGUAAGUAACUGUGCACAUCUUGACGGUACCUAAUCAGAAAGCCACGGCUAACUACGUGCCAGCAGCCGCGGUAAUACGUAGGUGGCAAGCGUUAUCCGGAAUUAUUGGGCGUAAAGCGCGCGUAGGCGGUUUUUUAAGUCUGAUGUGAAAGCCCACGGCUCAACCGUGGAGGGUCAUUGGAAACUGGAAAACUUGAGUGCAGAAGAGGAAAGUGGAAUUCCAUGUGUAGCGGUGAAAUGCGCAGAGAUAUGGAGGAACACCAGUGGCGAAGGCGACUUUCUGGUCUGUAACUGACGCUGAUGUGCGAAAGCGUGGGGAUCGAACAGGAUUAGAUACCCUGGUAGUCCACGCCGUAAACGAUGAGUGCUAAGUGUUAGGGGGUUUCCGCCCCUUAGUGCUGCAGCUAACGCAUUGAGCACUCCGCCUGGGGAGUACGACCGCAAGGUUGAAACUCAAAGGAAUUGACGGGGACCCGCACAAGCGGUGGAGCAUGUGGUUUAAUUCGAAGCAACGCGAAGAACCUUACCAAAUCUUGACAUCCUUUGACAACUCUAGAGAUAGAGCCUUCCCCUUCGGGGGACAAAGUGACAGGUGGUGCAUGGUUGUCGUCAGCUCGUGUCGUGAGAUGUUGGGUUAAGUCCCGCAACGAGCGCAACCCUUAAGCUUAGUUGCCAUCAUUAAGUUGGGCACUCUAAGUUGACUGCCGGUGACAAACCGGAGGAAGGUGGGGAUGACGUCAAAUCAUCAUGCCCCUUAUGAUUUGGGCUACACACGUGCUACAAUGGACAAUACAAAGGGCAGCGAAACCGCGAGGUCAAGCAAAUCCCAUAAAGUUGUUCUCAGUUCGGAUUGUAGUCUGCAACUCGACUACAUGAAGCUGGAAUCGCUAGUAAUCGUAGAUCAGCAUGCUACGGUGAAUACGUUCCCGGGUCU